ACUGGGCGGACUCCGCGCCGCCGGCCUUGUAGCCAUUUUAGGAGGAAUCGCUGGUCGCCAGCGAGGGGUGCGGCUUCAAUUUCAAUAACUUUAUUGGUGGCCUGAUCUGCAGAACAGCCAUCACAUCAGUGGCCCUUGGAGGAGGGAGCGCAUCGCCCGAGGUGGUCCCCGACGAGCUGCAGCCAUGGGAAACACCACCAGCGACCGGGUGUCCGGGGAGCGCCACGGCGCCAAGGCUGCACGCUCCGAGGGCGCAGGCGGCCAUGCCCCGGGGAAGGAGCACAAGAUCAUGGUGGGGAGUACGGACGACCCCAGCGUGUUCAGCCUCCCUGACUCCAAGCCAUAAUGACUUUGUUGCCAUCCUGGACCUCCCUGAGGGAGAGCACCAAUACAAGUUCUUUGUGGAUGGACAGUGGGUUCAUGAUCCAUCAGAGCCUGUGGUUACCAGUCAGCUUGGCACAAUUAACAAUUUGAUCCAUGUCAAGAAAUCUGAUUUUGAGGUGUUCGAUGCUUUAAAGUUAGAUUCUAUGGAAAGUUCUGAGACAUCUUGUAGAGACCUUUCCAGCUCACCCCCAGGGCCUUAUGGUCAAGAAAUGUAUGCGUUUCGAUCUGAGGAAAGAUUCAAAUCCCCACCCAUCCUUCCUCCUCAUCUACUUCAAGUUAUUCUUAACAAAGACACUAAUAUUUCUUGUGACCCAGCCUUACUCCCUGAGCCCAACCAUGUUAUGCUGAACCAUCUCUAUGCAUUGUCCAUUAAGGACAGUGUGAUGGUCCUUAGCGCAACCCAUCGCUACAAGAAGAAGUAUGUUACUACUCUGCUAUACAAGCCCAUUUGAAGGGAUCCCUUCUUGCCUCUAAGGAUUCAGGAGAAGCAUCUCCCUUGCAUUUCUGGACUGAACCAGUCUUACCUGAGACUGGAAGGCUGAUUUGCUUUGAGGCUGAUAUGUGUGUUUCAGAGCCUCUGAGUAGGAUGCUCUGCUUUUGCAUUUGAUUGCAGAUGAGAGCUUUAUGAGUUCACGGAAUUUAUUUUAAGAAAAAAAAAUAUACAUAUGAGAAGAAGGUAAAUGGAAGCCUCCUAGCCCCAGCUAGAAGUAUUGUUUCUGCCUGUGGGUUUUCACCAAGACCUGUUUGGGGGCGCUGCAGGAAUAACUAUAUAGGAAGAUUUUUCCUAAAAUGAAAGAACAGCAAACUCUUAGGAUCCUUGUUGGGUGGAGAUUCUAUCACUGCUACCUUGGCUCUCCAAGGAAUGGGCUUGUGCUAGACCGCUGCCCUACUUAACAGCUGCCUCAUUGCAAGGGCAGUUUUUCUUGCAUGGGUUCUCUAUAUUCCCAGAGUAUGUGGCACAAUCUGUGUUGUUUAUAUGAUACCAGAUGCCCCACAAGAACCCUUAUUCCUCUCAUUUCACAUUCUUCCUUUAAUAGCCUCCUUCAGAUCCCAUACCUGACCCCUCUCUAACACAAAACUUAUUGGGUAAGUGACUUUGAAAAGUUUUGUGGCACCUGACCCACCCCAGACACUAGGGCUAUCAGAAGGUCUCCUUUUUAGCCCAGCACAGGCCCAGGCCACUUUGUCGUGUUUGUUUUAACUUCUAAAGAAAAUAUGUUUCAGCAUUAUAAGAAAGGCAGAAUGCAGAACACCUACAUUUUUGUUUUAGUUUGGUGCCAAGGCUCAGGCUGUAUUGGCAAAUUCCCGAAAGUUUUCCCACUUUGCCUGGCCCUGCUUCUGUCUUUUCUUUCUCAGUAAACAGUUCUGAAGGCAGGAGUGGAACCCGGGAGUAUUUUCAUGUCUUUCAUCCUUGAAAGAUUUUUAUGUGCCUGCAUUUUUUUUUUAAUUAAAAAAUGCCUUUUCAUUGGUCUUAAGAGACCGCAUUGGAGAAUUUCAGGCUUUUGAUAAAUGCUUCUUCAAAGAGAUUUUCUUCUCUAGUCUAGCCUUCCACAUUCUUAGAUUAAUAUGGCCAACCCUGUACACAUCACUACACUAAACACUGCUCUAGAUAAACUGCUCAAGUUCAUUUAACUCAUUUGAUGCACCUAAAGGGGUUCCUCAUUUUAAAGAUUUGUUAGGCCAAGAAGCAAGAGAGUAUUCCUAGUAUUCCCAACCAUGAAAAGUAUCAUUCUUUGCACCAAAUGUUAACAAAAUCAUUUUGUUCUCCUGCCUCUUCUUUUUAAAGGUGUUUGAUGAUUAAGUGGGGUCACUGAAUUCCAUUUGUGGACUGAAAAGUAUUCAAUCCACUUUUGGGGUUCAGAGAUAAAACAUUUUUUCCCAAGUAGCUGGGGCUCUUCCAUUUUGCAGAUAAGUCAAAUAAUCAACACUAAAGGAGGCUAAACUGUUGAUGAAUGAGAGACUCCCUGACUGCUCAGAUGACCCUAGCCACACUGAAAGGGCACCUACAGGUCAGUUUAGCUACCUCCUGUCUUUCCCAUGCAAAGCUGAUAACACAGUUGUCUUUGGACUUGUAGACCUCUUGGAUUCCAGGUGUGAUGGAGUAAAGUGUGGGAUUGUUGUUUUGCUGGGAUGCAAAUAACUAAAUGCUUUGGUGGUUAAUUGCUAAGAGUAAAUACUACUUUAGCCAUCCAAGGCCACCUUCUGCAGCAAAAGGCUUUUGUGGAGAACCUUUUAUGUUCCCAACCACUUUUUGAAUGGUGUGCCAUUUAAAAAUCCAGGCCAGAUCCUAUUAUAACCAACUCUCAGGAUUUACAGCCUUCAGUUGUACUAGAAUUUUGUUUUUAUCCAAUACUCAUUAAAUAAGUGGGCCACUUAGGAAGAUUCAAAAUCUUGGUUAUUACAUGAAGUUUGUUAUAUUUCUUGUCAACAGUAUUGAAAUGUAAUAUGUAUGUGUUCAUGUAUGAAAAUUUUUACUCCACACAGGUGUUUCAGUAGAGUGGGGCAGGAAAAGAGAUCUCUUCGAUUUCUUUCAGGCCUGAGGCUUUUGUGAAAUGCGUCAGCCCCCUGUGACAGUAGGUUUUGAUGCUAGUGAUCUUCAGAUCUUUCUCUCUGGAAAUGUGCAGAGAGUGUCAGUUUCCCAAGUUCUGAGGUAACUCUCAGCCCAGAUGUGAAAUGGGAGCCUACCAGCUGGUAUAGAAGGGAAUGGGUAGGAGGCACUGGGUGCUGACUCAUUCAGCACUGUCCCUUUUCUAUACUGCUGAUACAUCCCAUGGUUCUGAGAAGCCUUAUCUCAGUCUAUUUGGAAGAGAGGGAGGAAGAGAAGGAAGUAACCCAAAGUACUACUCAUUUAUCAUUGUAUAUUGAUUAGUUAAAGGGAUAAUUAAUUUAAUGCUGAGGAGAGUUUGACAGAUUUUGAAAAUGAGUAAAGGCAAAAAAAAUUUUUUUAGCCUUUAUUUUGCUUUUGGGAAUUUUACAGAGUCAAAGUAGGCAGAAUAAGAAAAUAGUUCUUCAGGAGGGCCGACCUUUAAAGAACUUCAACAUAGUUUCGGAAUUGUGGGGAAGAGAAGAGUGACUGAGCUGAGAAGUAAUAAUAGAAUAAAGGGUUGAGUAACUUACAACUGAAAAUGAUCUCUUUUAAAAAGAAAUUAAAUCAGACACCACAUGGUGGUGUCCUUGGAUCUCACUGUACAGAAUUAGCAGUGUAUAACCAUCUUCUCUUUUCAUCUUGUUCCAAUUCUCUCCUCUUUCCUUUCCAUUCUGCUUUAAGCUCAUGUGUCAGGCAGACUUUACCAGAGUGUCAGACAUUACCUAAAACACAUACGUUAGCCAUGCUGCUGGUAUGGAGAAAUUCCACACCAUGAUUAUUAGCCUCCUUUAAGCUGAAUGGGAUUUAACCAUUCUAGGCAACACCCCUGAAGGGCAUACCUAACCUCAAUAGUGUUGGCUUUUAAAACGUAUGUUUGUAUGGUAGAGAAACUUUGUAAAAGAAGAAUCCAAGAGAAGUUUGUGAGGAUCCUACAAACCCAGGCCCACUCACUUUGCUCUAAUUCUUUCUAGUAUCUUGUAGAUCUAAUGGGUCUGGGAUAAAAACUUUGAAAAGUGUCAAUAUUCCAUGUAUGCUGCUGAAAUGAAGUUAAGUUUGGAAAGAAGUGAUACCUCUAGACUGGGUUUAUAUUAAUCUGGGAUAUAAAUGAAGAAGACAUACUAAUAGAACUCCUUGCUUUUAAUUGGGGAAAUAGGGCUUUAAUAAUUUUGACCUCAACUAAAAAUGAUAUGCAAUAGUCUCUGUGUGUGUUUGAAAUACAUUGUGUUCUCAGAGAUUUCUACAUUCUCACGUUCUAGUGAUUUGGGGCAUGGGCUUAAUAGCAGAUGUACAGUGUAUUCCUGCAUUAUUGUGAUUCCCCUUAAAGCCCAGUUCUUGCUGUCUUCUACCAGGGGCUGCUGACUCCAGUUACCCAUGGAAUGCAGGACCUGGGAGGGGUAGCCAUUAGGGUCUUUCAAAACUCUUUGGAUCUAAGCAUUUGUCUCUCCUUAAGUGCCAAUCACAAUUGGAUAUGGAAGGACUGUGAUUUCUGCAAUGAACCCAAACUUUUAGAGUAAAAAGCCAAAUUUAAAUUAUAAGAAAGAAGGGAAAAAAGAGAAAAACUCAAGUCUAUUACUUGUAGAGUCCAAUUCUUAGCAAUGGAAUCGCUCUAGGAUUCUAGUUUGGGCUUUGUCUGGAUUUGCUUUUCUCAGUUGUGCUUUGAAGUGAAUAAGCUUUGUUACAAAUUAAUUUUUUAUUAGUUCCAAUAUUAGUUGGAGUUAACUUGAAUUGAUUGUAUGUAGCACAGCACUUUUGCAGUAAGAUUGGUGUGAAAUACUAAACACUAUGGAUUUUGUAGGUGUCAGGUUAAAUGGUCAAGGGAUACCUACAUUAAGUCAUAUAUUAGGUAUUGAUGAUCUUACUUCUUUUCUGUUCCCCUGUACAAAACACUUACCUAACCCAGCUUGUGGUUUUAGGACAGCCAAAGCUCACUGUUGUUGGUUAGUCCUAAUCACUACACGGGUCUCAUAAAUGAGACUUGUUUGAAUUUUGGUACAUUGGAGCAUGUUGGUUGGUAUUACACGGCAGCAUUUCGAAUGAGUGCAGCUCUGUGUCUGUCAGAAAGGAGAGAUAAGACUACUUUGAAGGGAAUUAAAUAUGUGAGUCCUCUUUUUAAUGGUGCUUUUUGUAACCUUUAAUGCUGAGGUACAGAGCUGCUUUUCAAUAUUUCAUAAAGGAGUGGCAGACAAGAGUGGAUUUUAAAGCUGUUCUUCAAACGUAAUUUGUCACUGGACUCUGACACACCUGGAAAUUAUAUGAUAUGAUACAUACAGAAAUGUUGUGGGUUUUUUCCAUAAAACUUUAAUAAAAGUAUUAUACAGCAAUAA
rnacentral:lncRNA from 1 species